GACGUAGGAUGCGAGCGUUAUUCGGAUUUAUUGGGCGUAAAGAGCUCGUAGGCGGUUUGUCGCGUCGGCCGUGAAAUCUCCACGCUUAACGUGGAGCGUGCGGUCGAUACGGGCAGACUUGAGUUCGGUAGGGGAGACUGGAAUUCCUGGUGUAGCGGUGAAAUGCGCAGAUAUCAGGAGGAACACCGGUGGCGAAGGCGGGUCUCUGGGCAGUAACUGACGCUGAGGAGCGAAAGCGUGGGGAGCGAACAGG
rnacentral:rRNA from 1 species